UUGUAACACUGCAUAAUCGUUUCAAAGGGCUGAUAAAGUAUGAAAGGAAGCAUGCCCCGAUGGUAAGAGUUGUGAUCUUCAGGUGGUGGAAUUAUAGUUCACAGACUUGGAACAUUUGCAGACAGAAAGACUGAGACUCUUCCCCAACCCAGACUGCACAGGGUGUGGAAGUUCAGGAAGGGGUCAAAGCAGGAGCACUGUGGUGACAGGACGAUGAGAAGGAACCUCUCCUCAUGACCAACUCACAGACACUGCUCUCCCCCAACAGCAAGACCUGUGAGUGGUAAUGAGUGCUUACUGGUGUGCGGAUAUCAUGCUGUUGUCUGGGGCACGGAGCUGUUCAACUCAUCACGCACAACUGGGAAAUGAAAACCAUGAUCCCUGAUUCACCAGUGAAUUUAGGAAAAAGAGGGAGAGAAGAAUGGAUCAGACCUAUUCCUGGAAUACACUAGACAGCUUCUGGAGAUUAAA